CAGUAUAAAGCCAAAUAGAGGCUUUUAAUUGUUAAUUAAAAAAUUGUAUUUUUAAAUACUACACUGG
rnacentral:tRNA from 1 species